GUGGGGAAUUUUGGACAAUGGGCGCAAGCCUGAUCCAGCAAUGCCGCGUGCAGGAAGAAGGCCUUCGGGUUGUAAACUGCUUUUGUACGGAACGAAACGGUCCUGGCUAAUAUCCGGGGCUAAUGACGGUACCGUAAGAAUAAGCACCGGCUAACUACGUGCCAGCAGCCGCGGUAAUACGUAGGGUGCGAGCGUUAAUCGGAAUUACUGGGCGUAAAGCGUGCGCAGGCGGUGCUGUAAGACAGGCGUGAAAUCCCCGGGCUCAACCUGGGAAUUGCGCUUGUGACUGCAGUGCUGGAGUGCGGCAGAGGGGGAUGGAAUUCCGCGUGUAGCAGUGAAAUGCGUAGAUAUGCGGAGGAACACCGAUGGCGAAGGCAAUCCCCUGGGCCUGCACUGACGCUCAUGCACGAAAGCGUGGGGAGCGAACAGGAUUAGAUACCCUAGUAGUCC
rnacentral:rRNA from 1 species